rnacentral:tRNA from 1 species
GGUGGCUUGGUGGUAGAGCGCUUGCCUUGUAUGCAUGAGGCCCUGGGUUCAAUUCCUCAGCACCA